AUUGAACGCUGGCGGCAUGCCUUACACAUGCAAGUCGAACGGUAGAGGAGCAAUCCUCGAGAGUGGCGAACGGGUGAGUAAUGCAUCGGAACGUGCCCAGUAAGUGGGGGAUAGCCCGGCGAAAGCCGGAUUAAUACCGCAUACGACCUACGGGUGAAAGAGGGGGAUCGCAAGACCUCUCGUUAUUGGAGCGGCCGAUGUCAGAUUAGGUAGUUGGUGGGGUAAAGGCCUACCAAGCCAACGAUCUGUAGCUGGUCUGAGAGGACGACCAGCCACACUGGGACUGAGACACGGCCCAGACUCCUACGGGAGGCAGCAGUGGGGAAUUUUGGACAAUGGGCGCAAGCCUGAUCCAGCCAUGCCGCGUGCGGGAAGAAGGCCUUCGGGUUGUAAACCGCUUUUGUCAGGGAAGAAAUCUUCUGGGUUAAUACCUCGGGAGGAUGACGGUACCUGAAGAAUAAGCACCGGCUAACUACGUGCCAGCAGCCGCGGUAAUGUAGUCGUG
rnacentral:rRNA from 1 species